GGAGAUCCAGGACCGAAAGGCGAAAAGGGGGAAAAAGGUGUACCUGGUCCAAAAGGCUCGGAGGGAGAACCCGGAGUUAAAGGCCGACCAGGUAUCGAAGGACCAAAGGGAGUGAAAGGAUAUCCUGGAAGACCAGGUCCCCC